ACGGAGACUGAUAUCCAACGGCCAGGGGCAUUAAGAUCCUUGCCGACCCUUCCAUCCCUCGUUGAAAUUUCCAUAAACAAGGAAUUUCCAAGAAUUGACAAAGCUGAAGCCAUAGAAACAAUAAUUAAAGCGAAGGAAGCUCAGUUUACUGUGUGAAAUGGUAAAGUAAGAGACGGUCUCCUCCUUUAUCCAUCUCGGUUUGACCAUCGAAAGAGUGAAAAAAAUCCUUCUUCUGUACGCAAUUUUAUUUUUAAUAAAAUCUUCUUCUCUCUUGUUCCACAAUAAUCUUAUCUCUCUUUCCCUUUUCUGCGUACAAAGUUAGAUCUAGGUGUUUUCGUUUCAAAUUCUUGCGAUCUUUGAGUUUCAAACGGAAUUCUAGCGUAGUAUCAGAACGUAGACUAGCGUCGCUGGUCCUUUAAGCGUUCAUCAGGAAGGAGUUAAGGUAGCUGAGCGAAUCGGCCUACAGAGUCUCCUCAAGAACAUGCUAAUCUGAUUCAACGUACAACAUUUUGUUGUACUGAAGAUCAGGUUCAUAACUAGCAAACUGAUUCACCUGUUGAAUCUAUGAAUUCACCCCCGCACAACCAAAUUGAUAAUGUAUCAGCAUUAGUUGAUAUUGAAGCCAGAGGGAAUAAUGAAGCCAGAGGGGCCAGCUUAAAUGAAAGAAUUCCUUCUGAUGGUGAUAAUGAAACAGGGGACCAAAAUCCAGGGAAUGACGAAGCACCACUAAAUGGAGUAAACAUAAUUGCACCUAAUGACGAAGCUCCACCAAUUGAUGAAGUACGCACAACUGUACCUAAUGAAGACCAUGAAGGUAAAAAGGAACUUAAGUUUGUCAACAUGCUUGGAGGUCAAAUAAUUGCCACUGGGAUAGCAGCUUUUUCAUUGAAGAACACAUCUAAUGUAUCUAGGGAAGCCAAAGUCCUUCGCGGUCUUCUUUUAGGAUGCAUGUUUAUAAGCCUUAUUUCCUUAUUCUAUGGUUUAUGCCUGUAUGUUUAUAAAUCAAGCAGUCUAGGUGCAUGGGUGGUAAGGGUUCAACGGGUGGUAAAGGUUAUCAGCUGUGCUGCGAUGGCGUUUACUCUUUUGAUCGCAACUGGGCUCAAUUUGUCUGACAAAUUGAUGCUUCCAGUCACUUUAGCGGUUUGCAUUCUGAGUUUUCCGGCCAUUAUCUUAUAUGCAAUAAAAAUAGCCUAGAGAAGAAAUGGAGACGAAACGUGGCGGCAAAUUGAAAAUAAAUAUUUUUCCAUUUCAGAUAUGAUUCAAGAAUUAGAAGAAAAAUCAAAUUAUCAGCCAAGAUUUCUCCCUAAGUCCCCCGAAUCUCUAUCUGGUAAUUAUUUGCUCUGAUGCUAACAAUGGAACCUGUAAUGGAGGACUUUUCAUAACCAGCAAUGAGUAUAAAACACUGGACGCAUAUGCAAGUUCAAUUCAGAGCCUGCUAAAUGUGUAUCCUGAAAUGGAAAAUCUGAUAGAAUGCUGGUCAGUGAAAGAAGCAUUUUCGUCAAAAACUGCAGUCCAGUGCAAAGAUUUGUGCAGUUGGUGUGGUCAGGAUUGGUUUUUCUCUCUAUUGUUAUGGUGUUUCUGGUUCCAAUUUGGACUCACCAAGUGCACCAUGAUCAACAGCUUCACUCUUCGUAUGGUUCCAUGAUACCCGAUUUUGGAACAAGUAAUAUUAUAUAUAUAAAUAAAUUAUACAAAGUCAUACGUACAAAUUGAUGUGAUAGUAUUUGAUUGAAUGAUUUGAAAUAAAAGAUAUAGUAAACAAUAACAUCA